UCGCCGUGUCGCGACUGGCGUACAGGUGGAUCACCACCGGGGAGCGACGCGCUGUGUGACGACGGGUCGUUCGCCUGGGCCUGGUCC
rnacentral:ncRNA from 2 species